GACAUUGCUGGACGCAGCAUCUGAGCCAUAGCUGGGGAGGUCUGCAUAGUUAACCCACUGUGAAGAGGGAAUUAGAGAGCGAAGAGAGAGAGGGGGAGGGAGGAGCGAGCAUCAGAGGGGAAAUGAAUUGCGAGCUGCUGCAGAAUUAGUUGUCAGCACGUUGAGCUGCAUGGUCUGGAUUUCACUUAAGCACUCGGUCCAUCCAUGUCUCUCAGCUCCAGGAUGAAGGGGCUGCAGCGGCUGAGUCUGCCCGGAGAGUGAGGAGCCUUCCUGGGCUCCGUCUGCAUCGUCCUCCCCUCUAUUUCUCUCUCUCUCUCUGGGACGUUUCCUCCAGCCUCCCUCCAUCUCUCCAGCUCUGCAGCAGAAGUCAACAUCAACAUCCUUCUUUUCAAGCUUCUGCCAAACCUUCACCACAGUCAUGGAUGGACUGCGUCUGCCACCAGUCAUAGAGGAGGUCAUGGAUCCCUCUGAUGACCUGUGUGACCUCAAGGUGGAGAAGCCCGGCAUGGGGGGAGACACUUUGACGGCCAAAGAGAGGGAGUCCAUGGAGGAGAACUAUGAGAGGGAGGAGAAGGAGGUGGCGGUAGGGAAUGGAGAGAAGGGCCAGCAGGAGGAG